rnacentral:tRNA from 1 species
GCGGGGAUGCCAGAGCGGUCAAAUGGGACAGGUUUAGGACCUGUUGGCUUAGUGCCUUCGUGGGUUCGAAUCCUACUCCCCGCA